rnacentral:lncRNA from 1 species
CAUCAGUAGACCAAGUGGGUAAUCUUCUAUCUCAAGUCCAAGCUUUCAAUGCAUUUUUCUCUUUUUUUCAUGUCUCAGUGAUGAUCUGCAGGGCCGAAUUAUGCCACUGUUGAUGGUGCACAGGUCUGUUGCAUGGUAAACCCAGUAUUGGCCGUCCUUUCAAGCUCCUUUGUUCAUCCUAGAGAAAAAACUGGAAAAACUAUCUUUUAAUCUUUCUAUAGUGCAUUGCUAUGAUUACAUAUAUGGAUACAUCAUUUCGAUGUGUCUAGAGACCUAAAGCCUUUUAAGAGUUAACUGCCAAACUGGGGAGUGAUGUCAUAAUUGGAGAUGGGCUUCGUUCAGUUAUUCUUUUUGGGCCUAGAACGAUGAUGUUUGCAGAUGGGCUUUAUUCUGUCAUAAGAGCUUAUCGAUCCAGCAUGCAUAGUUUUGUUUCUUCAGUGUUCUGUGUCUGAGAAAAACAUAUGUUGUUUCCUAUUUGUUUAUGGUCGAGAUGGACGGAUUUUUGUUGUGUGGGCUGGAGGUGGAUUUCUGUUGUGUGGGCUGAAGGUUCUUGAGGUAGGGCACCAGCACCAGCUAAGCUUUCAUUCUGGUGAAAUGUAUGACAUGAUUGAUGAGCAUGCAUAUCUAUAUGGUUUUGUGGACACUGAUUUGGUUCCAUGCCAGUUUAUUUCCUGCAGUUGGUGUGUUUCUUUAUAGAGAUUUUUGUCACUAAAUUAAAUUAGAAACUGAGUGUGUACUGCUUUCACCUUCAGUUUAAACAUGACAUUAUCUUAUUUGUGAAUAGAUGGAAAUUAGCAAGCAAGCUACAGUUAGUGCAUGGAUGACCAAGUUUACUUAUUACUUUAUGAAGAUGAUUCUUAAAUGGAAUUAGGAGCUAGGUCCUGCAUGUUGAUUGUGCUUCAAGGUACAGUUGUCUGUACCUUAUAAAAUUAAAGCUUUUUAUUGGUUGUGCAUCCCAGGACAAAAAUCUUGAUUCAUAGAUAGCCAAAGAAUUGAUUACUCUCUGUCGUUGUAGGGAAGAGGAUGGGAGGAGGGGAUGCGUUGCUCCACAUUUUGUUAUGCACACCUUCAUAAACUAUACUCCCUCUGUAAACUAAUACUCCCUCCGUUUCUUUUUACUCCGCGUAUAAGUUUUGGUCAAAGUCAAACUACAUAAAGUUUGACCAAAUUUAUAUUAAAAAAUAUGAACAUCUACAAUACUUAAACUGUAUAAUAUGAAAAUACAUUUCAUGGUCUGUCUGAAACUGUUGGUUUCAUAUUGUGAAUGUUGAUAUUUUUUAAUAUAAAGUUAGUCAAACUAUGCAAAGAUUGACUUUGACCAAAUCUUAUAUGCAGACUAAAAAGAAACGGAGGGAGUAUAAGAGCAUUUAGAUCACUAAAGUAGUGAUCUAAACGCUCUUAUAUUAGUUUACAGAGGGAGUACUUCUCUUAACAUAUGUUCAUUAUCCAGCAGAAGCUGUAGAUUUCAGAGUACAAUAAUUUCCUGUUUAUACAUGGGAGCAG